GCUAGGGAGCCCCCGGCUGUUUAACCUGCCCUUCGCCUAUCAGCGCCUGGCACGCUUCCGCUGUGAGCUGCUGAGGCGAGGCGUCCAGGCUCAGCCCCUCGACGUAGGCUACUGUGAGCAGGAGUUCAAGCAGCCCUGAGCCAGCAGCCCCGGCACCAAGGACAGUGCCCUUGGAGAUGCAGCAGGCGUCUGCCCUGCACCCCGGUCGGCCCCGGGGUCCCUUGCCCACGUCUCCUGUGGCCGAAGAGAAGGAGGCGGGUGCUGGCACCGGCGUCCAAUAAAGAGCGAUGAGGCCUUUUUCUAUCAUGA